CUUGUAGUGUUUUGUUUUCUUUCUAUGUUUGUUCAUAGGAGCAUUUUCUGAUGAUCCCUAUUGUGUGGGGUGUUAAGGAUGAUAGCUCGCUGGUUACAAGACAAAAUUCUAAAGGUUGAAUCUGAAUGUUACCAAGGGUAAACUGAUCUAUCUUUCUUUCUAUCUAUCUUGCUAUCUAUAUGUAUACAUUAUCCCUACCCUGGCUUCAUGAAGUGGCCAUACACUGCCUAUCUCGGAAUGAAUGUCUUGUUGGAUUGUAUCUAUUGUUUCACGAAGAUUAUUUCAUGAAGAUAAUGUAAUUAGGAAUUCUUUCUUGCAAUUCUUUCAUAAAGAUUAUUUUUUGAUACCUAUUUUGCAGAAACAAUUUGUAUUAUCCUUUACUAUCUUAUAUGUAUUCCUACUUCAAUUAUUACAGUGUUAUGGCAGGGAAGAACAAAGGCAUAUGCCACAGUUGUAGGAAGCCCGGGCACUACUUGUCAGACCGCCCAACAAAGAAACGAUGUCCAAGCUGUGGCCAGGGAUUCGAGAAAUGUAUGGAGGUGGAGAAAAAUACUUCGAACAAAGGGAGAUUGUUCUUAUGCUGUAUUAGAGAUUGUGGUCACUUCGAGUGGAAGAAUGAAGAGCGGUGCAAUGUGGACCGAGAUAGUUUGUUCGGGUAAUUGCCAAGCUAAAUAUCCGUGGGAAGAUCUGUUGUGUAUGUUCAACAAAUGUGCUCAAAUCACAACAGAAAAGGACAUCAAGAUAUCUAUCAACAUUACCAUGCGCAAAGGAAGGACGGUUGUGGAUGAUAAUGGAAAAAGAAAUGGGCUUACGGAGGAUAAUGGAAAAGGAAAAGGGGUUACUGAGGACAUUGGGAACGGGAAGGGGAAAGUUCAGUGAAUUGAUUGUAUUUGUCCCAUCUAGUAAAUUAUGUAGGUUGUAAGACUUGGAUGUAAGCCGUUGACGUAGGACUAUUAUGUAAUCGUUUUUUAUCGAAUUAUGAAAUUCUUC
rnacentral:lncRNA from 1 species